UACGGAGGGGGCUAGCGUUGUUCGGAAUUACUGGGCGUAAAGCGCGCGUAGGCGGACCUGCAAGUCGGGGGUGAAAGCCCGAGGCUCAACCUCGGAACUGCCUUCGAUACUGCGGGUCUCGAGUCCGGGAGAGGUGAGUGGAAUUCCUAGUGUAGAGGUGAAAUUCGUAGAUAUUAGGAAGAACACCAGUGGCGAGGCGGCUCACUGGCCCGGUACUGACGCUGAGGCGCGAAAGCGUGGGGAGCAAACAGG
rnacentral:rRNA from 1 species